rnacentral:lncRNA from 1 species
CUCUGGGCUUUGACCACACAAAGCUCCCUGAUUCAUUCAAGUCUCUGCUUAACUCUUACCUUCAAGAGGCCUCUCUGGACCACUCUAUCCAAAAAAGCACCUCCAUCACUCUCAUUCCUGCUUGCCACUUAAGUUUUCUUCAUAGUAGUUACUGCUACCUGAAAACGUGUGUGUGGUGUGUGUGUGUGAGCGCGCAUGCAUGUGUGUGUGCACCUAUGUGGGUGUGUGUGCAUGUGUGCAUGUGUGUGUCUGUGCCUGUGUGUGCCUGCAUGUGCACGUGUGUGUGCGUGUCUGUGUGUGCGUGUGUGUUUGUGUGUCUGCUUCCUUGAUGGUUGUUAGUUGUCCCCACUAGAAUUUGAGCUCCCUGGGGACAGGAACCUAAUGGUCCACUAUUGUAGCCACCCUCAUUCAAUCCUGAAACGUGGUUGAAAGCUGACUCUGUGUCAGGCCCUAAUCAGUGUGCUGAGAAUGAAACAGAAGUCUGCUCUCUCAGAGCUUACCUCCUCCUGAGAGAAGACAGACAAUGAGCAAGUAACCCGAGGGUGGACAGAAGAGGCCUCCUGA